GAUGAACGCUGGCGGCGUGCCUAAUACAUGCAAGUCGAGCGAACAGGCGAGGAGCUUGCUCCUCUGACGUUAGCGGCGGACGGGUGAGUAACACGUGGAUAACCUACCUAUAAGACUGGGAUAACUUCGGGAAACCGGAGCUAAUACCGGAUAAUAUAUUGAACCGCAUGGUUCAAUAGUGAAAGACGGUUUUGCUGUCACUUAUAGAUGGAUCCGCGCCGCAUUAGCUAGUUGGUAAGGUAACGGCUUACCAAGGCUACGAUGCGUAGCCGACCUGGGAGGGGGAUCGGCCACACGGGAACUGAGACACGGUCCAGAGUCCUACGGGAGGCAGCAGUAGGGAAUCUUCCGCAGUGGGCGAAAGCCUGACGGAGCAACGCCGCGCGAGUGAUGAAGGUCUUCGGAUCGUAAAACUCUGUUAUUAGGGAAGAACAAAUGUGUAAGUAACUAUGCACGUCUUGACGGUACCUAAUCAGAAAGCCACGGCUAACUACGUG
rnacentral:rRNA from 1 species